rnacentral:rRNA from 1 species
AGAUAAUAGAUACCCCGGUAGUCCAUGCCGUAAACGUUGGGGACUAGGUGUGGGUCUCAUUCCACGAGAUCCGUGCCGCAGCUAACGCAUUAAGUUCCCCGCCUGGGGAGUACGGCCGCAAGGCUAAAACUCAAAGGAAUUGACGGGGGCCCGCACAAGCGGCGGAGCAUGCGGAUUAAUUCGAUGCAACGCGAAGAACCUUACCAAGGCUCGACAUACACCGGAAACAUUCAGAGAUGGGUGCCCCGCAAGGUCGGUGUACAGGUGGUGCAUGGUUGUCGUCAGCUUGUGUCGUGAGAUGUUGGGUUAAGUCCCGCAACGAGCGCAACCCUCGUUCUAUGUUGCCAGCACGUGAUGGUGGGGACUCAUAGGAGACUGCCGGGGUCAACUCGGAGGAAGUGGGGAUGACGUCAAAUCAUCAUGCCCCUUAUGUCUU